rnacentral:lncRNA from 1 species
GUGAGUGAAUAAAUAAACAGACACAAGAGGGUGAUGCAUGUUAGUAAACUAUUCAUUAAAACAAUUCAACAAUUACUGUAAAAUCAGACAUUUUUGCCAUAUUUUAUUAUAGAAAGAAUUGUGACGGGAUAGUUUCAUUAAAAAAAUAAAAACUUGAAUGGAAAAGCAUAAUAUGUGUGAAGUAUAUGUUAAAAUUGCUAUACUGUGGAUACCGAUUUUUUGGCAAAAAUCAUGAUAUCAAAUAUCCAUGAAAAUACCAUUUUUCCCGAGGUCAUCAAAAUAUGGUAUUGACAAAAAUAAAUGAAUUUACA